rnacentral:rRNA from 1 species
UACAGAGGGGGCAAGCGUUGUUCGGAAUUACUGGGUGUAAAGCGCGUGUAGGCGGCCUGCCAAGUCUGCUGUGAAAGCGCCUGGCUUAACCGGGCGAGGUCGGUGGAAACUGGCGGGCUGGAGGACGGUAGAGGGGGGUGGAAUUCCCGGUGUAGUGGUGAAAUGCGUAGAGCUCGGGAAGAACAUCGGUGGCGAAGGCGGUUCUCUGGGCCUUACCUGACGCUGAGGAGCGAAAGCGUGGGGAGCGAACAGG